CAAGAAGUUUUUUUGUUGCUGGACGACGUGGUUCACGCCUGAAAUCCUAGCUACUUGGUAGGCUGAGAUCGGGAGGAUCAUGCUUGAAGGUCAGCCCAGGCAAAAAGUUUGUGAGACCCUUCCAUUGCAACCAAUACAAUACAAGGAUCACAAUCCAGGACUGCGUGGGCAAAAAGCAAGACCCUAUCUCCAAAACAACCAGAGCAAGAAGUACUGCAGCCACGUCUCAAGCAGUAGAGCACCUGCCUAGCAAGCCUAUAAGCCCUGAGUUCAAGCUCCAGUACUGCCAAGAACUAUCCUUGUUCAUAUACUGAUGUGGAAACUGAAGCUCAGAGAAAUAAAGAGACCUUACCCAGGGUUCCCAAGCUGGGAAAUAGUAGAGCCUGAAUUCAAUACCAAGUCCAUAUGAACACAAGCCUGUGCUCUUUCAUACUGCCUACUGCUGGGAAGAAGAGAGGAUGCAGCAGCAAGACAUCAUCUUAGAGAGAGAAGCCCCCACCGCAUACCAAUUCUACCAGCCCCCUGAUCUUGGACUUCCCAGCCUCCAG